UUCCGGUCUUGACGUCAUCACUUCCUGGCUGGCUCUGUUUUUCGAACCGCGAUAAGAUCCGACUUCAGCGGGGAAACCUUUACGGGAAGACACGAUUUGCCGCGGCUUUUGGCGCCAUUUCUGAACAUUUUCUACACCGUCGUGCAGUCUGGACUCAGACUGUACUUCAAAGUGACCUUUGACCCCCUGUGCUGACACACACCUGCCUUAGUUUUCCCAGCAUGCACAGUGGUAACCAUGGCAACCUACAGCAGACCAAUGUGCCAGAUUACCAAACAGUCCAUAAUGACUUUGUAGAAUUGCCCAGGUCAGGAGCAAAGGGUGAGUGAACAGUCUUAAUGCUUCC